rnacentral:rRNA from 1 species
AACGAACGCUGGCGGCAUGCCUAACACAUGCAAGUCGAACGGGAUCCAGGCUUCGGCCUGGUGAGAGUGGCGGACGGGUGAGUAACACGUGGGAACCUGCCUUUUGGUUCGGGAUAACCGCGGGAAACUGCGGCUAAUACCGGAUGCUCCCGAGAGGGGAAAGAUUUAUCGCCAGAAGAGGGGCCCGCGUCCGAUUAGGUAGUUGGUGAGGUAAUGGCUCACCAAGCCGACGAUCGGUAGCUGGUCUGAGAGGAUGAUCAGCCACACUGGGACUGAGAUACGGCCCAGACUCCUACGGGAGGCAGCAGUGGGAAUAUUGGACAAUGGGGCAACCCUGAUCCAGCAAUGCCGCGUGAGUGAUGAAGGCCUUAGGUUGUAAAGACUCUUUUGCCAGGGAGAUGAUGACUGUACCUGGAGAAUAAGCCCGGCUAACUUCGUGCCAGCAGCCGCGGUAAU